ACUAACUAGCAGAAUGAGAGGGGAGGGGAAAAAAAAAGAAAUAAUGAGAGAAAAAGAUAAGAAAAUAUGAAGGUGGUAUCAUUAAAUAUAUUGUCUCUUUAGAAAUGUGCACGUAUGUACAAUACUUGAUAUAUAUUACAACAAAUGACCUUGGAAUACAGCACAUCUUUACUGCACGUUAUUUGCUUUAUUUCUAUUUAGCAGGGGUGCAUGUUUCUGAAGUAACUUCGUGGAUAAAUGUGCAAUGUGAUCCAGCAAUUGGAUUUAUAAGGGUCAGUAUUCCCUCCAGCUCUUCUACUAAACAGCUUUGUAACUCUGAGCAAAUAACUUAUUUUUAUGCCUCUUAUGCCUCUGAGUUCCCAUUCUCUCUCUCCCUUUUCUUUUCUUUUUCUUUUUUCUAAUUUUUGGGGAUAAUUACAGUGCCAGAAUUGCCCUAAUAUGCAAUGCUUUCUUUGGACCUCAGAAUUGCAAUGGGAUGUGCACAGUUAAUAAAUGUAGCACCAGCAGUUGUGGCCAUUUGUGCACCUGGAUUGUCCUCUCCACAUCAUCUUUUACAGGAAGAAAUGGAGGCUCCAAUACAAUUCAGUUCUACUGAAACUGGUUCUCAUUUGCAAGAGUUGUUACGCUCAUGAGAGGCAUUGCAAACAUUUCUUGAAAGCACAGGCACCCAUGGGAGGGGAGAGUCCUGAUUUCUGAAGACUAUGGCACAGACCCAAACAGGUCUAUCACCCAGAUCACUUCAGUGCAGGAUUUAAGUGGAGUUCAGGUUUAUAGGGUUGUAAUCACAUUUCAGAGCUUUUCCUUCCCCUAACCAAACAGCUACACAACUCUGGAGCCAUCUGCAGCUCACAGCCAUGUUAACUUCUGUCAGACAGCUCUAUCACUGCACAUCCUGAAAACAUCUCAAUUCUAACACACGAUCAAUCAUGGCCCAGCGGGACCCUUUCUGCCUUAGGGUUAUGGAGCAGGUGGGUUUUAAGCUGUAGUCAACUCCAGCACCACCUAGAUCCCUACAAAAGACGAAAUCAGGGGAUACACAACCUGGAUGCCCACAAAACAUGAAACCAGAAGAUACUACCAUCUUUCCAAAUAUGUCUGAAAGGCAGAAGUAUCAAGUGCAUUGAAUUGACAGCUUAAGUCUUAGUUUUGGCAAACUGAACUCUUACUGUGUGACAUGGAUUGCACCAAGCCACGUUUCACAAUUUCACUUUGGUUUUGCAGACUGCGGUAAUAGCCGUCUACCUUAGGCUAAGCCUCCAGAACUGCAGCUGGGUAACAGUAUCCCGUUCUAUGUCAACAGUUGCUGUAAAAAAUAGAAUAAAAGGCAAAUACUAUUCAAACUAAAAGGCUGUAACCUGAAACCACUUUGAAUGGACAGAGAAGUUUCACAUUUUGAUGGUGUUGCCUGUAUUACCCAGAGCCCUCACAUCAGAUCUGAGAGCUCUCUUCAUAUAUUAUGGAACUUUCCUUGUACAGAAAAUAACAAUUUUCAGGAUGUUGAGAAAAAAACCCCAAAAUUCCAAAUGCACUCUCUGCUUUAAAGCGCUCUGAAAUUAAACAAAAUAUUUACUGUUCUUCAAUAAAAACUGUUAAAUAAAAA